GGACCAAAGUUUGAGACUACUGUGUCUGAUUUAAGAAGUUACCUCUACAAUCUGAAUUGGAGAGAGGACAGGAGAGAAGACAGCGAGCUUCCCAUAUGGAUACUGAAUGCAUUGGCUGUUUUCCUGAUUACGGAUAACCUGUUGGUUAAGCACUGCUGGGGUUCCCUACAGUCCCCGUUGGGACGAAGUUAGGCCGUUGUUUGGCCUCGUUUCCCGAGUUCCGGGCCGGCUGGCCGAAGAUUCAAGGAGCGGUGUGGACGUCUGGCUGGCGUUCGGUUUCCUGUGCGGCUCUGAUUCGCAUGAAGAAAGAGGAGGAUCUAUAUGUGGGCAGUCCUUAUAUAGGGGCUACAGACGAGGAGUGGCUGCUGUGGUCCUGGGACUGCUGGGAGUUGUAGUUUUUUCUUUACACUGAUUUGUUUACUGAAUUUUGUUCUGCUAUGGGCAUUAUUAAAGAAAGAAUAAUGCAUAAGAUACUCGCCUCCUGUCUUCAUAUAACUAAUAUUUUCCGUCACAAGCUAGGAAAAUCUAGAUUUAUAUCCUGUAUUAUACCCCAGAGCUGUACUCACUAUUCUACUGGUGGGGUCACUGUGUACAUACAUUACAUUACUUAUCCUGUACUGAUCCUGAGUUAUAUCCUGUAUUAUACUCCAGAACUGUACUCACUAUUCUGCUGGUGAGGUCACUGUGUACAUACAUUACAUUACUUAUCCUGUACUGAUCCCGAGU